AACGAACGCUGGCGGCAUGCCUAACACAUGCAAGUCGAACGAAGCCUUCGGGCUUAGUGGCGCACGGGUGCGUAACGCGUGGGAACCUACCAUCAGGUUCGGAAUAACAGUUAGAAAUGACUGCUAAUACCGGAUAAUGUCUUCGGACCAAAGAUUUAUCGCCUUUUGAUGGGCCCGCGUUAGAUUAGCUAGUUGGUGGGGUAAAGGCCUACCAAGGCGACGAUCCAUAGCUGGUCUGAGAGGAUGAUCAGCCACACUGGGACUGAGACACGGCCCAGACUCCUACGGGAGGCAGCAGUGGGGAAUAUUGGACAAUGGGCGAAAGCCUGAUCCAGCAAUGCCGCGUGAGUGAUGAAGGCCUUAGGGUUGUAAAGCUCUUUUACCAGGGAUGAUAAUGACAGUACCUGGAGAAUAAGCUCCGGCUAACUCCGUG
rnacentral:rRNA from 1 species